rnacentral:rRNA from 1 species
UACCAGCACCCCGAGUGGUCGGGACGAUUAUUGGGCCUAAAGCAUCCGUAGCCGGUUCUACAAGUCUUCCGUUAAAUCCACCUGCUUAACAGAUGGGCUGCGGAGGAUACUAUAGAGCUAGGAGGCGGGAGAGGCAAGCGGUACUUAGUGGGUAGGGGUAAAAUCCGUUGAUCCAUUGAAGACCACCAGUGGCGAAGGCGGCUUGCCAGAACGCACUCGACGGUGAGGGAUGAAAGCUGGGGGAGCGAACAGG